CACUCCUACGGGAGGCAGCAGUGGGGAAUUUUGGACAAUGGGCGAAAGCCUGAUCCAGCCAUGCCGCGUGCAGGAUGAAGGCCUUCGGGUUGUAAACUGCUUUUGUACGGAACGAAACGGCCUUUUCUAAUAAAGAGGGCUAAUGACGGUACCGUAAGAAUAAGCACCGGCUAACUACGUGCCAGCAGCCGCGGUAAUACGUAGGGUGCAAGCGUUAAUCGGAAUUACUGGGCGUAAAGCGUGCGCAGGCGGUUAUGUAAGACAGUUGUGAAAUCCCCGGGCUCAACCUGGGAACUGCAUCUGUGACUGCAUAGCUAGAGUACGGUAGAGGGGGAUGGAAUUCCGCGUGUAGCAGUGAAAUGCGUAGAUAUGCGGAGGAACACCGAUGGCGAAGGCAAUCCCCUGGACCUGUACUGACGCUCAUGCACGAAAGCGUGGGGAGCAAACAGGAUUAGAAACCCCAGUAGUCCCA
rnacentral:rRNA from 1 species